AAGGCUUUAAGUUAUUAAACUAAUAGCCUUCAAAGCUAUAAAUAUAAGGAAAUCUUUUAAGUCUUA
rnacentral:tRNA from 1 species